GAUACAUCUCCACGUGUGGAGGUGCUGGCUCCGCCACUAUCACUAGCAGGCCUACUUGACUGAGUGGAUACAUCUCCACGUGUGGAGGUGCUGGCUCCGCCACUAUCACUAGCAGGCCUACUUGACUGAGUGGAUACAUCUCCACGUGUGGAGGUGCUGGCUCCGCCACUAUCACUAGCAGGCCUACUUGACUGAGUGGAUACAUCUCCACGUGUGGAGGUGCUGGCUCCGCCACUAUCACUAGCAGGCCUACUUGACUGAGUGGAUACAUCUCCACGUGUGGAGGUGCUGGCUCCGCCACUAUCACUAGCAGGCCUACUUGACUGAGUGGAUACAUCUCCACGUGUGGAGGUGCUGGCUCCGCCACUAUCACUAGCAGGCCUACUUGACUGAGUGGAUACAUCUCCACGUGUGGAGGUGCUGGCUCCGCCACUAACACUAGCAGGCCUACUUGACUGAGUGGAUACUGGCUCCGCCACUAUCACUAGCAGGCCUACUUGACUGAGUGGAUACAUCUCCACGUGUGGAGGUGCUGGCUCCGCCACUAUCACUAGCAGGCCUACUUGACUGAGUGGAUACAUCUCCACGUGUGGAGGUGCUGGCUCCGCCACUAUCACUAGCAGGCCCGCUAGUUUCUCGAUGCUCCACUACAGCUCGCUUCACAGUUGGGUGCACAGUUCGCAUCUGCCGGUGUAGGUUGUGCGUAGAACAGGCUUUAUAUGAGAUCUUGUUUUGACAAAUUCUACACUGUGCUCUAACAUUGUCUACAUUAAUGAAAUGCA